CAGCCGCCGCGGGAAAACCGAGGGUGCAAGCGUUAAUCGGAAUUACUGGGCGUAAAGCGCGCGUAGGUGGUUUGUUAAGUUGGAUGUGAAAUCCCCGGGCUCAACCUGGGAACUGCAUCCAAAACUGGCAAGCUAGAGUAUGGUAGAGGGUGGUGGAAUUUCCUGUGUAGCGGUGAAAUGCGUAGAUAUAGGAAGGAACACCAGUGGCGAAGGCGACCACCUGGACUGAUACUGACACUGAGGUGCGAAAGCGUGGGGAGCAAACAGGAUUAGAUACCCCCGUAGUCCCUGUCUCUUAUAC
rnacentral:rRNA from 1 species